rfam:Hordeum vulgare subsp. vulgare, WGS project CAJW01000000 data, contig: morex_contig_52503
UAAGUACUACCUUCGUCCGGAAAUUCUUGUCCUAGAAAUGUAUAAAAUGGAUGUAUCUAUAACUNNAAUAAGUCUAGAUACAUCUAUUUCUAAGACAAGUAUUUUCGGACGGAGCUGUCCAAA